rnacentral:tRNA from 1 species
AAAAAAUUAGUUAAUUUAUAACCUUAGUAUGUCAAACUAAAAUUACUAAUAUAUUAGUAUUUUUUA